rnacentral:lncRNA from 1 species
AGUCAGCUCAAUAAAAAUUGAGCUGAGGAACCAAGAUCUUGAGUCGAAUAAUACUAAGUCGACUCAACAGGUGAACUACAAUAAUUACAUUAAUUUUAGAUCAAAAUAAUUCUAUAUUAACAGUAAUAAAAUUAAUCAUAAAUUAUUUUAGAACUAUUCUAAACAUGUUCAUGAUUCUAGAUUUUAUUUGCAAAGAUUAGAUGCAGCUACUUUUCGUAAAUGUAUUAUAUACACAAUCUUAGGAUUUUGAGAAAAGUAAAGUUUUCUUUUCACAUUCAUCUUUCUGGGAUAUAAUCACAAUGACACCC